CAAGAUCAAGCUAAGCUAGCUAGAGUCAUCCAUGGUCCUGAAGAGUUGCAGAGAGUAGAGAUAUAUCUAAAGCUAUAUAUGUACACUAUUUUUGUACUAAGAGAGCAAGGCUUACAUGGAGACAAGGGUUUAGCUCUGGUAGCCAAGGAUGACUUGCCUGUGUCCUUGUGUGUAAGGAUCAUUAAUUAUUAUUCAGAAAAUGAUCCUUUCAGCAGGUUUCAUGGGCAGUCUCCUUGGCUAGCCUGAGUGAUUCUUGUCACUUAUGCUAGGCUUGCAUCUCUCCUUCAUCUGUAUCUAUGCCGAUCUGUUCUGAAGAAUCAAUGCAUGCUGGUGCGGCUAAUUAAGGUCGAGCGAUCUUGUGUUGUACUUUGAUGCUGCUUCUUUCUACCCAUCACAUAGGCAGAAUUAAUCCCUUAUAUUUAGGAAUUAAUGGAUGUAGUAUUUUGGAUCCAUCAUCCAUGAUGAUCCAAUGUAAAUAUGUAAUCAUAUAUAUGUGUGUAUGUGUAUGUAUCUCUAUACGAUACAUAUAUAGUUUUCUUUUUUACUUUAUUUUGGUCCUGAUGAGAGGGGCAGCUAGCUAGCUCAUCAAGUGGCGCUUAACUAUGUUUAUUCAUGAAGAGAUAUGUUAUAAUGGUUUCUAUUGGUAGUGGAAUUAUUAAUUCUGUUGGACAGAAUACAGGAACGAGGUCUUAAUUAUUUUGCAGUGGAUCGGAAUCGGAUGGCUGCAAGAACACGACGUACAAAUAUUGGGCAUAACUAGCUAGGUUGCCACUAUAUGUUUUUUUGUAUGUAAUAAUGUGUUAAUGUUUGUAGCUACUAGCUCGUCGUUCUUUCUGACUUUAUUAUUGUUUUUAUUUUUCUAAGUGAAAAGGGUGUCUUGUAAUAACAUUUUGUUUGUAGCUUAGCUAUAUCUUUUGUGCAACAAGAUCAUUGUACACUUUCUACUAAUAUAGUAGAACUUAAUUCAUUCUUGCUUCUUGUAAUUGCA